GGCAUUUAGAGCUGCUUUCUUUGAAAUCUCAAACCAGCCCUGUCUUCAAAUGGUUUGGGGUACUCUGUUGUACGAAUUCUCCUGCUGCUGCUUUUAAGGCAACUCCAGCUAUGGGUUCAGUGGGACAAAACAGGAAACCCUGACUAAGGAAUGAAGAAGUCCUACAAAGAGGAGGUCUCAAGUACCAAUCAGCAGCCAUUUGAUGAUGGCAGUUCCAGGGAGAAGAUGUCCAUCUAUAAGAAAGUGGUCCCUCAGCAGACACUGAAUCUGCUGGUGUCCUGAUCUUGAAUAUACCAGCCUCCAGAACUGUAACACAUGCAUGGGUGCAAAACAUGCUUCUGUGUCAUCUCACAUAGUGUGGUCAACAGAGAACACCUGGGCAGAAGAUGAGAGGCUCCUGGGGACUGGUCUGAGACAAGGUGCUGUAAAAGAAAACCUAUAUUAAAGUGGUUGGAAGUGCACAGACUGGUUGCUUCACCUGCAGCCAGAAUGCAAGACAGGUGCAAGUCAUCCCUGAGGAAGUAGUGACCAGCUGUGGAUGCUACGCUGAGGCCCUUCUUUAAGAGUGAUCUGAUGGCACUGGAUGUCUGCUGAGGCUUGUGUCUAGAAGGAAUGAAAGGAUGUGCCAACAACAGCAGUUGUCUCCUCGUUUUCAAAGCUCAGGCCUCAUGCAUCAUUUCCAUGGAUAGCUUUCUGAAAGACUGCCUAUCCACUUAGAGGUGAGGAGAAGUAAUAGGGGAGGAAACCCUGCCGAGCUGCAAAAAGUUCUAAAUCCAGUCCUUUAAUUAUCUUGCUUAAAAUUCUUUAUUGGCUCUUUGAUACCCUCAGAAUAAAGCAAACUGCUUAAACAUGA
rnacentral:lncRNA from 1 species